UAGGGAAUCUUCCGCAAUGGGCGAAAGCCUGACGGAGCAACGCCGCGUGAGUGAUGAAGGUCUUCGGAUCGUAAAACUCUGUUAUUAGGGAAGGACAAAUGUGUAAGUAACUAUGCACGUCUUGACGGUACCUAAUCAGAAAGCCACGGCUAACUACGUGCCAGCAGCCGCGGUAAUACGUAGGUGGCAAGCGUUAUCCGGAAUUAUUGGGCGUAAAGCGCGCGUAGGCGGUUUUUUAAGUCUGAUGUGAAAGCCCACGGCUCAACCGUGGAGGGUCAUUGGAAACUGGAAAACUUGAGUGCAGAAGAGGAAAGUGGAAUUCCAUGUGUAGCGGUGAAAUGCGCAGAGAUAUGGAGGAACACCAGUGGCGAAGGCGACUUUCUGGUCUGUAACUGACGCUGAUGUGCGAAAGCGUGGGGAUCAAACAGG
rnacentral:rRNA from 1 species